rnacentral:misc_RNA from 1 species
AAAGUCGUAACAAGGUAACCGUAGGUGAACCUGCGGUUGGAUCAUUAACAAAUCAAUUUAGGCCCCCUGUUGCCUAGCGCAAAGGGGAAAACCUAAACAUUUGUGUGCACUGUAUCUGUCUUUGGCAGUUCGAACGUCCCGAGUUUGCGUAACUGCCUCGGGUACCUACCAAGGCAAGCCUUUGUGCUUGUCCGGGUUAGGCUGCCGCCAAUUUUGAACAAACCUUCUGUUUUUUUUACUGCCUGAAAUUGUUUGAUCUUCACAGAUUAAAUUUAAAUACAACUUUUGACAACGGAUCUCUUGGCUCUC